rnacentral:rRNA from 1 species
UACGGAGGGCGCGAGCGUUAUCCGGAUUUACUGGGUGUAAAGGGAGCGUAGACGGCUGUGCAAGUCUGAAGUGAAAGCCCAGGGCUCAACCCUGGGACUGCUUUGGAAACUGUGAAGCUGGAGUGCAGGAGAGGUAAGCGGAAUACCUGGUGUAGCGGUGAAAUGCGUAGAUAUCAGGAGGAACACCGGCGGCGAAGGCGGCUUACUGGACUGUAACUGACGUUGAGGCUCGAAGGCGUGGGGAGCAAACAGG